GACAGAGGUCCCGAGCGUUAGGCGGAAUUACUGGGCGUAAAGGGCGCGUAGGCGGCCCGCUAAGUCGAACGUGAAAUCCCCGAGCUCAACUCGGGAACUGCGUCCGAUACUGGCGGGCUUGAAUCCGGGAGAGGGAUGCGGAAUUCCAGGUGUAGCGGUGAAAUGCGUAGAUAUCUGGAGGAACACCGGUGGCGAAGGCGGCAUCCUGGACCGGCAUUGACGCUGAGGCGCGAAAGCUAGGGGAGCAAACGGG
rnacentral:rRNA from 1 species